UGAGGAACAUGACCUUCGGCGGGGGAUAGCCGGCCCAACGGCCGGGUAAUACCGCGUACGACCUUUCGGGGACAUCCCUGGAUGGUGAAAGCAGCAAUGCGCCGAUGGAGUGCCUCGCGGCCUAUCAGCUAGUUGGUGAGGUAACGGCUCACCAAGGCGACGACGGGUANCUGGUCUGAGAGGAUGGCCUGCCACAGUUGGGACUGAGACACAGCCCAAGUACCUCCCGGUAGGGACGCG
rnacentral:rRNA from 1 species